rnacentral:rRNA from 1 species
AGAGUUUGAUCCUGGCUCAGAACGAACGCUGGCGGCAGGCUUAACACAUGCAAGUCGAGCGGGCGCUUUCGGGCGUCAGCGGCGGACGGGUUAGUAACGCGUGGGAACGUGCCCUUUGCUCUGGAAUAGCCCUGGGAAACUGGGGGUAAUACCGGAUGUGCCCUGAGGGGGAAAGAUUUAUCGGCAAGGGAUCGGCCCGCGUCUGAUUAGGUAGUUGGUGAGGUAACGGCUCACCAAGCCGACGAUCGGUAGCUGGUUUGAGAGGAUGAUCAGCAACACUGGGACUGGGACACGGCCCAGACUCCUACGGGAGGCAGCAGUGGGGAAUCUUAGACAAUGGGCGCAAGCCUGAUCUAGCCAUGCCGCGUGGGUGAUGAAGGCCUUAGGGUCGUAAAGCCCUUUCGCCGGGGAAGAUAAUGACGGUACCCGGUAAAGAAACCCCGGC